rnacentral:rRNA from 1 species
UAGGGAAUCUUCCACAAUGGACGAAAGUCUGAUGGAGCAACGCCGCGUGAGUGAAGAAGGGUUUCGGCUCGUAAAACGUCUGUUGUUAAAGAAGAACAUAUCUGAGAGUAACUGUUCAGGUAUUGACGGUAUUUAACCAGAAAGCCACGGCUAACUACGUACCAG